rnacentral:lncRNA from 1 species
UGUUAAGAUGGGCUCCUGGAGCCGGAACUACAGAAGAGGCACGAAGCCUCUCCGCACCAUCUUUCACGGUGUUGAGAUGGGGAGUUUUAAGCCACUCUUUAUACACACGCUAAACAACAGAUCACCUUAAAACAUAAGUUCCCAGGCCAGAAGCCAUUUAUAUGGUCUGCAAACGGGGGCAAAUAGUUCUGCAAUGCCAGGCACCUCCGAAUAACAACGGCUUCCAUUUAGGGAGCAUCAAUAAGAUUUCAGACCCCAGACAACCCUGAAGUGUCAGAGGCAAUGCAGCAGCAGGAGGCUACAGAUGUCCACAACAGAGGAGUCGACUCAGAGGAACCCGAGUUCUUAGGGCAUGAGCGAACCCCCUUGCUUUCCCCUUCCCCUGUCCUCCCACCAUGUGGCCUAGGACAUGGACACAGCUGUGGAAACUGUUCAACAGAGUAGGGUAACUAAAGAACCAGCUUUUGGGACACAGACCCGAAAGAGGAGUUCUAAGGGCUGGAAAAUACCAAGGAACUGGCAGAAAGAGGAAGCAAACCCAUAAAGUUCUAUAAACUCCUGUUUAUAAAUCAAAACACCAAGCCCAUAAAGCUUAUAAACUCCUGAGCUCACCCAAAGUUGUAUAUAUAUGUGUAUCUGACCCUAAACAGUGCAGUAAAGACGUUGAGAAUGAACUAUGGGAUAGCUCACCACCUAGGUCCCAGACUGACCACUGGGUGGCAUAUACCGAGCAAAGAUUCAAAUAGCAUCACAAAGGCUUUGAAACAGAAUUGAUAUUGAACCUUCAACCCACAGAAGACUGACCAGAACUUCUCACUUGAACCCAGCCAGGUUGAUUGCUUUCGAAAACAAAACAAAAAUCAACAUUCUUCAUAGGAUUUAAACAAGACCAGAGUCCCAUAACAUAAUAAACAAAUGUCCACGAUAUAAUUCUAAAUUACUUGGCAUACAAAGAACCAGGAAAAUCUCAAUUCAUAUGGAAAAAGACAAUCAACAGAUGCCAAUGCCAAGAUGACACAGUUGUUGGAAUUAUCAGAUUGUAAAGCAGCUAUAAUAAAAUAACCCAAGAUUAGCCAGGCAUGGUGGUAUACCCCUGCAGUCCCAGCUAAUCAGGAGGCUGAAGCGGGAGGAUUACUGGAGCCCAGGAGUUCAAGGUUACAGUGAGUGAUGAGCUACCUUCUGCUAUCCAGCCCAUCCAUUUUUAUUUUGGAUACUACGUUCUAUGGUUCUAAGAUUUUCAUUUGCUUUUUUUUUUUUUUUUUUUUUUUUUUUUUGAGACAGAGUCUAGCUCUGUCGUCAGGCUGGAGUUCAGUGGUGCGAUCUUGGCUCACUGCAACCUCCGCCUCCCGAAUUCAAGCGAUUCUCCUGCCUCAGCCUCCCAAGUAGCUGGGAUUACAGGCAAGCGCCGCCACACCGAGCUAAUUUUUGUAUUUUUAGUAAAGACAGGGAUUCACCAUGUUGACCAGGAUGGUCUCAAUCUCCUGACCUCGUGAUCCACCCACCUCGGCCUCCCAAAGUGCUGGGAUCACAGGUGUGAGCCAACACACCCGGCCCAUUUGCUUCUUUAUAUCUUC